GCCUGGAAGGCUCAGCAGUUGAGCGUCUGCCUUUGACUCAGGCUGUGAUUCCAGGGUGGGAUCGAGUCCCACAUCGGGCU
rnacentral:tRNA from 1 species